rnacentral:rRNA from 1 species
AUACGGAGGGUGCGAGCGUUAAUCGGAAUUACUGGGCGUAAAGGGUGCGUAGGCGGCUUGAUAAGUCGGAUGUGAGAGCCCCGGGCUUAACCUGGGAAUUGCAUUCGAUACUGUCAUGCUAGAGUAUGUCAGAGGUUGGCGGAAUUCCUGGUGUAGCGGUGAAAUGCGUAGAUAUCAGGAGGAACACCAGUGGCGAAGGCGGCUAACUGGGACAAUACUGACGCUGAGGCACGAAAGCGUGGGGAGAAAACAGGAUUAGAUACCCUAGUAGUCC